rnacentral:rRNA from 1 species
AUUGAACGCUGGCGGCAGGCCCAACACAUGCAAGCCGAACGGUAACAGGAAGAAGCUUGCUUCUUUGCUGACGAGUGGCGGACGGGUGAGUAAUGUCUGGGAAACUGCCUGAUGGAGGGGGAUAACUACUGGAAACGGUAGCUAAUACCGCAUAACGUCGCAAGACCAAAAAGGGGGACCUUCGGGCCUCUUGCCAUCGGAUGUGCCCAGAUGGGAUUAGCUAGUAGGUGGGGUAACGGCUCACCUAGGCGACGAUCCCUAGCUGGUCUGAGAGGAUGACCAGCCACAAUGGAACUGGGACACGGUCCAGACUCCUACGGGAGGCAGCAGUGGGGAAUAUUGCACAAUGGGCGCAAGCCAGAUGCAGCCAUGCCGCGUGUAUGAAGAAGGCCUUCGGGUUGUAAAGUACUUUCAGCGGGGAGGAAGGGAGUAAAGUUAAUACCUUUGCUCAUUGACGUUGCCCGCAGAAGAAGCACCGGGUAACUCCGUG